rnacentral:rRNA from 1 species
GGGUGAGUAACACGUGGAUAACCUACCUAUAAGACUGGGAUAACUUCGGGAAACCGGAGCUAAUACCGGAUAAUAUAUUGAACCGCAUGGUUCAAUAGUGAAAGACGGUUUUGCUGUCACUUAUAGAUGGAUCCGCGCCGCAUUAGCUAGUUGGUAAGGUAACGGCUUAACAAGGCAACGAUGCGUAGCCGACCUGAGAGGGUGAUCGGCCACACUGGAACUGAGACACGGUCCAG